rnacentral:rRNA from 1 species
UACGUAGGUGGCAAGCGUUGUCCGGAUUUAUUGGGUUUAAAGGGUGCGUGGGCGGCUUAAUAAGUCAGUGGUGAAAGCCGAUCGCUUAACGAUCGAACUGCCAUUGAUACUGCUAGGCUUGAGUAUAGUUGAGGUAGGCGGAAUUGACAGUGUAGCGGUGAAAUGCAUAGAUAUUGUCAAGAACACCAAUUGCGAAGGCAGCUUACUACACAGCGAUUGACGCUGAGGCACGAAAGCGUGGGGAGCAAACAGG